UGGAAGAAGGAGAAGGAAGGAGAAGGAGAGUGGAGUACAUCUCCUGCAACGGAUGAGGAUGGAGCAGGGUUGGAAGAUUUCCCUGGUGGCCUUGCUGUCUGCCCAAUUCCACUGGAUAAGUGGACAGUUGACUGUGAAGCAGAGCCCACCGUUGCUGGAGAUCUCCGAAGGGCAGAACGCCACCCUCACCUGCUCGGUCUCCCUGAGCAACUUGUAUUGGUACCAGCAGCUUCCCGGUGAAAAGCCCACCGUGCUGAUGCACGUCUUCGGCAGUGGCAGAAAACACGAGGGGAAGCAUUUCAUGGGGCAGUUCAAUUCACAGAAAAGGGAAGGCUAUCUGUACAUCAUAGAUGCUCAGCUGGAACACGGGGCCAACUAUCUCUGCGCUGAGGAUGUGCAAUGAGGCAGCCUGGCUGGGAGCCUGUUCGAAAACCAGAAUGCAAAGCUGCAACCACCAGGCUCACUUCCUGCCCUCAGACACAUGGGUGCCAACUGGUAGAUGGAGGGGACUGUCUCCUAGUCUUGCUGAUGGGAUUUCCCCCUCUCCAAAUAUUUCAUGUAAAUCAGGGUUAUUGGGUUUUUUUUAAUGCUGGGGUCCAUGAGAUAGGCCUAGGCAGUUCCUGGGAAAUCUUGGCCGUCCAGAAUUCAAUUUGCUUCCA